rnacentral:rRNA from 1 species
CAGCAGCCACGGUAACACGGAGGAUCCAAGCGUUAUCCGGAAUCAUUUGGUUUAAAGGGUCCGUAGGCGGUCUUGUAAGUCAGUGGUGAAAGCCCAUCGCUCAACGGUGGAACGGCCAUUGAUACUGCAGGACUUGAAUUAUUGGGAAGUAACUAGAAUAUGUAGUGUAGCGGUGAAAUGCUUAGAGAUUACAUGGAAUACCAAUUGCGAAGGCAGGUUACUACCAAUUGAUUGACGCUGAUGGACGAAAGCGUGGGUAGCGAACAGGAUUAGAUACCCCUGUAGUCCCUGUCUCUUAUAC